rnacentral:rRNA from 1 species
UACGUAGGGUGCGAGCGUUAAUCGGAAUACUGGGCGUAAAGCGUGCGCAGGCGGCUAUUUAAGCUUGCUGUGAAAGCCCCGGGCUUAACCUGGGAAUGGCAGUGAGGACUGGAUGGCUGGAGUGGUGGCAGAGGGGGGUGGAAUUCCAGCGUGUAGCAGUGAAAUGCGUAGAGAUGUGGAGGAACACCGAUGGCGAAGGCAGCCCCCUGGGCUAACACGUGACGCUCGAGGCACGAAGCGUAGGGGAGCGAAACAGG